GCAGAGCCGGGGGGCUGCAGGUCAGGAGUGAGGGGCACAAGCUGAGCUGGGGACUGUGGGUCUGGAGUGGGGGGCAGAGUGUGGGGCCCCAGCAGAGCUGGGGAUUGCAGGUCAGGAGUGGGGGGCACCAGCGGAGCCAGGGGGCUGCAGGUCAGGAGUGGGGGGGACACCAGCGGAG